GUAGGGGGCAAGCGUUGUCCGGAUUUACUGGGCGUAAAGCGCGCGUAGGCGGAAUGGUAAGCGGGGCCGGAAAGCCCCCGGCUCAACCGGGGAAGAGGCCGUGAACUGCCAUUCUUGAGGGGGGGAGAGGAGAGCGGAAUUCCUGGUGUAGCGGUGAAAUGCGUAGAGAUCAGGAGGAACACCCAUGGCGAAGGCAGCUCUCUGGCCUCACCCUGACGCUGAGGCGCGAAAGCGUGGGGAGCGAACGGGAUUAGAUACCCCGGUAGUCCACGCCGUAAACGAUGGUCACUAGGCGUUGGUGGGAUCGACCCCGCCAGUGCCGCCGCUAACGCAGGAAGUGACCCGCCUGGGGAGUACGGCCGCAAGGUUG
rnacentral:rRNA from 1 species